UUCAUUUUAUUUAGUUCAGGUGCCCCGGCUGCUCCUGCUGCACUCAGCAGUGCUUUUUGCGCGCUUUCUGCACACCUCGUGCCUUCAAGUUGCUCCCUGCCAGGCCGAGUGUUGGGGGGAGAAGCUGAGAAUCAAGCAGCACGUGUGUCCUUUGUGAGCUGCCCUCGGCCAUGCUAUGCACAGACAGUAGCAUGCGUCUUGGCAAGAAGUCAGCAACUCGUAAGAUAGCAGGCAUACUUUUCCUUUAGUAGGAACCUAUGGGAAUAACUUAAUACUGUACUGCAAGAUGUGUCUAACUAGUGCUUGAAGAAGAGGAGUGAUAGAUAACGACUGCACCUCAAAAACCUGUAAAACAUUGUUAACUGUGCCUGUAAGAUUGCAAAGCUCGCUUUUGCAGAGACCUUUUCCAGCACAGAUCCCCAACUCCCUUUCUCCCUACUGUUACUCACGGAAACUCAGCUCCAUUCUUUUGUGAGCUCAGGCUCAUGUUUGCUUUAGGUUUUAGAAAAAGUAAGCCUGUUAGACGGUCAUGCUUGGUUACCUGCAAUUUUCCUGAAGACCUGUCAAGGAGUUUGCUAUCUUUUGCUCAACGUUUGAUCCUGGAAUUCAGAACAUGCUAAAGUGAUGCAAUUGAUUAGGUGAGGUACCACCGGCCGUUUUACAGCCCUUUGGCCCACUGGGGACAGCGAACGGGUCUGUUUUUAUGUUCUUUUGCUCAAGAAUGAGGCACUUGGUUUGGAGAGGUGCCAGGCCGAGCCACAGGAACAGUUCCGCAGCAGAUCUUAGACAUGAGAGGAGCCAGGGUUUGGUUUAGGAAGGCAAAACCUCUGGAAGCCAUGAAUUCCUGCUGCACCGCCACUGAGGUGGCUGGGGAGCCGUGGUGGGGCUGGCUUUGGUACAAGAGCGAGCUGGUUUUGGAAGGGACACGUGUGUAAACAUG